CACUCCUGCGGGAGGCAGCAGUAGGGAAUCUUCCACAAUGGGUGCAAACCUGAUGGAGCAAUGCCGCGUGAGUGAAGAAGGUCUUCGGAUCGUAAAGCUCUGUUGUUAGAGAAGAACACGUGCUAGGUAACUACUAGCGCCUUGACGGUAUCUAACCAGAAAGUCACGGCUAACUACGUGCCAGCAGCCGCGGUAAUACGUAGGUGACAAGCGUUGUCCGGAUUUAUUGGGCGUAAAGGGAGCGCAGGCGGUCUGUUUAGUCUAAUGUGAAAGCCCACGGCUUAACCGUGGAACGGCAUUGGAAACUGACAGACUUGAAUGUAGAAGAGGAAAAUGGAAUUCCAAGUGUAGCGGUGGAAUGCGUAGAUAUUUGGAGGAACACCAGUGGCGAAGGCGAUUUUCUGGUCUAACAUUGACGCUGAGGCUCGAAAGCGUGGGGAGCGAACAGGAUUAGAUACCCGGGUAGUCCCAU
rnacentral:rRNA from 1 species